AGUGAACGCUGGCGGUAGGCCUAACACAUGCAAGUCGAACGGCAGCACAGUAAGAGCUUGCUCUUACGGGUGGCGAGUGGCGGACGGGUGAGGAAUACAUCGGAAUCUACUUUUUCGUGGGGGAUAACGUAGGGAAACUUACGCUAAUACCGCAUACGACCUACGGGUGAAAGCAGGGGAUCUUCGGACCUUGCGCGAUUGAAUGAGCCGAUGUCGGAUUAGCUAGUUGGCGGGGUAAAGGCCCACCAAGGCGACGAUCCGUAGCUGGUCUGAGAGGAUGAUCAGCCACACUGGAAAUGAGACCGGGUCCAGACUCCUAAGGGAGGCAGCAGGGGGGAAUAUUGGAAAAGGGGCGCAAGCCUGAUCCAGCCAUACCGGGUGGGUGAAAAAGGCCUUCGGGUUGUAAAGCCCUUUUGUUGGGAAAAAAAAGCAGCAGGUUAAUCCCCCGCUGUUCGGACGGUACCAAAAAAAUAAACACCGGCUAACUUCGU
rnacentral:rRNA from 1 species